UACGUAGGCAGCAAGCGUUGUUCGGAGUUACUGGGCGUAAAGGGUGUGUAGGCGGUUGCUUAAGUUUGGUGUGAAAUCUCCCGGCUCAACUGGGAGGGUGCGCCGAAUACUGAGUGACUCGAGUGCGGGAGAGGAAAGUGGAAUUCCAGGUGUAGCGGUGAAAUGCGUAGAUAUCAAGUGGAACACCAGUGGCGAAGGCGAGUCCCUGGACGACUUCUGACACUGAGGCACGAAAGCUAGGGGAGCAAACAGG
rnacentral:rRNA from 1 species